UGCCGGAUGGACGAAUGGCAAGUCGCCUGACUCUGAAUCAGGAAGUUGUAGGUUCAAAUCCUACUCCGGCAU
rnacentral:tRNA from 2 species